rnacentral:lncRNA from 1 species
CUUAAAAUGAAUGUAUCUACAUUUGUUCCUGAGAUACAGGUUGAUGGACGGAUGGCUACAUGGAUGUGAUGGAGAUGGUUUACUAUCGGGACCUUCCGCACCCUGCUGAUGUUUUGUUGCUUAGGAUAUGAAUGGCUGAGCGGAGGCUGUAAAACCUGGCACUCUGCUUGGGUUAUCAAUACUCUGGCUGACCAUCAUCAUCGUGGGACUGACUUUGGUGGAAGUCCUUGGUUACAUAUUAUUAUUGCGUUUCCGACAAGUUAUAAAGUUGUCAUUACCCUCUGGAUAGUUUACCUUUGGGUGUCUCUCCUGAAGACUAUCUUCUGGUCUCGAAAUGGACAUGAUGGAUCCACGGAUGUACAGCAGAGAGCCUGGAGGUCCAACCGCCG